rnacentral:rRNA from 1 species
AGACCCGAAACCCGGUGAUCUAGCCAUGGGCAGGUUGAAGGUUGGGUAACACUAACUGGAGGACCGAACCGACUAAUGUUGAAAAAUUAGCGGAUGACCUGUGGCUGGGGGUGAAAGGCCAAUCAAACCGGGAGAUAGCUGGUUCUCCCCGAAAGCUAUUUAGGUAGCGCCUCGUGAAUUCAUCUCCGGGGGUAGAGCACUGUUUCGGCUAGGGGGCCAUCCCGGCUUACCAACCCGAUGCAAACUGCGAAUACCGGAGAAUGUUAUCACGGGAGACACACGGCG